GCGGGCGUGGCGAAAUCGGUAGACGCAACGGACUUAGAUCAUUGAGUGCGCACAGGGAAAUCUGUGACGUAGAACUGCUCAAAUUCGGGGAAACCUUUAACAUGGCAAUCCCGAGCCAAGCCUGAAAGUCCGCUUUCAGGAAGGUGUAGAGACUAGACGGGCAGCACCUGCGCCCCGGCCUGCCGGGGCAUGGUGAAGGGAUAGUCCAGACCACAAACGCCCCUCCGGGCGGCGGCGAAAGCCGUAGCGGGUAAGAAAAUCCGUCGGGCUUUGCCCAUGGGGGUUCAAGUCCCCCCGCCCGUACCA
rnacentral:tRNA from 1 species